rnacentral:siRNA from 1 species
CUGCCGUGAUCGUGGUCUGCA